UACGGAGGGGGCUAGCGUUGUUCGGAAUUACUGGGCGUAAAGCGCACGUAGGCGGACUGUUAAGUCGGGGGGGAAAUCCUGGGGCUCAACCUCAGAAUUGCCUCCGAUACUGGCAGUCUCGAGUGCGGGAGAGGUGAGUGGAAUUCCCAGUGUAGAGGUGAAAUUCGUAGAUAUUGGGAAGAACACCAGUGGCGAAGGCGGCUCACUGGCCCGUAACUGACGCUGAGGUGCGAAAGCGUGGGGAGCAAACAGG
rnacentral:rRNA from 1 species